UGGGGAAUAUUGGACAAUGGGCGAAAGCCUGAUCCAGCCAUGCAGCGUGUGUGAAGAAGGUCUUCGGAUUGUAAAGCACUUUAAGUUGGGAGGAAGGGCAUUAACCUAAUACGUUAGUGUUUUGACGUUACCGACAGAAUAAGCACCGGCUAACUCUGUGCCAGCAGCCGCGGUAAUACAGAGGGUGCAAGCGUUAAUCGGAAUUACUGGGCGUAAAGCGCGCGUAGGUGGUUUGUUAAGUUGGAUGUGAAAUCCCCGGGCUCAACCUGGGAACUGCAUUCAAAACUGACUGACUAGAGUAUGGUAGAGGGUGGUGGAAUUUCCUGUGUAGCGGUGAAAUGCGUAGAUAUAGGAAGGAACACCAGUGGCGAAGGCGACCACCUGGACUAAUACUGACACUGAGGUGCGAAAGCGUGGGGAGCAAACA
rnacentral:rRNA from 1 species